UGAGAGUUCUCAAACUCUCCCCAUUCUUCUCCACGAUCGCAUGUCACCUGAACCAGGGCCAUCUGACCGGCCACCGUUUCGUGGUGGCUAUACCUGAUCCAACUGGCCACCUAUCACGAAUGAGAAAACAAACAAUCCUCCAAAUCGAUUUACAAAGCCCCUUGAUUCCUCUAUAGCCUCACUCUUAAGCCGCCACUCUAAAGGGCCAACACCCACGCCGACCUUCGAUUCCUCCUCUGCUCCUAUCUCCGGCGACCCGAGAAUAACUAGACCGCCCCACCUAAACUCUACCGUUUUCAAUCUAAAACCUGGAAAACCAAAUGAAUUACCCCUAAGUUAUGCGAAAAGAAGCCCAACUGCUCAUCUCUCGAUCCCGACGACACGAACGGAUGAACCCUUUAUUCCCGGUGACAAAUACUCUGGCAAUGACAGGACAACAAGCGAAGAAGGGUUACCUUCGAUGAUACGAGGAAGUAACGGCUUCGCUGAAUGAUGGUAGCGCUUAUCCGAUGAGAAAAGGUACAUUCGAAACGGCUUCAGCAAGAAUGGAACAGCUGGCUCAUGUGAAUUGGUUCGCAUCUGGAACAACGAGCGUAAUUUCCACUUGCUGGAUCCAGCCGCUCGAUCUAAGCAUUCGGGUUUGCCAUGGGUCCGAGCUUGCUCCAAAUCAGGUCUCUAUUUGGGUCGAAUAAAUGUUGCCUUGUUUGGGCUUAAUCCAAUUGAACACGGGUUGGAGUUUAUAUCUGAUGUA